UGCUGGUUGAGAAUUUGGGAUUCUGAUGAUCCACCAGAUAUCUUCCCAUAUGCCUCAUAAUGACCAAUGAUGGGAUACAGAAUCCUAGGACUUUGGAGCUUCUCUUUCAGAAAUGCCCUCUGAGGGUGGAGAGGACACCAAACCCUGGGGAGGGGGUUGGAUCAUGGUCACCAUUGCUGGUCUUGCUGAUGCAUGUGACGAGCUUCAGAAAGGAGGACGGUCCUAGGGGCUGCCUGCCCACGGUCAUGAGACCAGAGAGCUGGAGAACAUCUCAGAUGCUUCUUCCAUUUGGCCAGUCUCCUACCUUCAGAGUCCAGUGUUUCCAAACCUGCUGUGCUCACCCUUUGUGCCCACACAGCCAAGAAAGACCUCAGCCAGCUCUCAGCGGUAACUGUGGGUCUCCAAGGCAAAGAACCUCCCCAGGGACCCCUGGCCCACUGGGGAGAGGAGUCAAAAGCUGGGGAAGGACUAAUCGGGUUUUAUAAC